GUGGGGAAUAUUGGACAAUGGGGGCAACCCUGAUCCAGCCAUGCCGCGUGUGUGAAGAAGGCCUUCGGGUUGUAAAGCACUUUAAGUGGGGAGGAAGGCUCGCUGGUUAAUAGUCAGCGGGAGUGACGUUACCCACAGAAUAAGCACCGGCAAACUCCGUGCCAGCAGCCGCGGUAAUACGGAGGGUGCGAGCGUUAAUCGGAAUUACUGGGCGUAAAGCGCACGUAGGCGGUUUGUUAAGUCGGAUGUGAAAUCCCUGGGCUCAACCUGGGAGCUGCAUUCGAUACUGGCAGACUUGAAUACGGUAGAGGGGGGUGGAAUUCCAGGUGUAGCGGUGAAAUGCGUAGAGAUCUGGAGGAACACCAGUGGCGAAGGCGGCCCCCUGGACCGAUAUUGACGCUGAGGUGCGAAAGCGUGGGGAGCAAACAGGAUUAGAUACCCUUGUAGUCC
rnacentral:rRNA from 1 species